rnacentral:rRNA from 1 species
GAUGAACGCUAGCGACAGGCCUAACACAUGCAAGUCGAGGGGCAUCGGGACGUAGCAAUACGUUGCCGGCGACCGGCGGAUGGGUGAGUAACGCGUAUGCAACCUACCCGUAGCAGGGGGAUAGCCCGUUGAAAGACGGAUUAAUACCCCGUAACACAGGGGCUCCGCAUGGAGAUUAUUGUUAAAGGGUCAUUUCUUUUAGAGGUGGUCCGGCUGCGGAUGGGCAUGCGUUCCAUUAGGUAGUUGGUGUAGGUAACGGCUCACCAAGCCGACGAUGGAUAGGGGAACUGAGAGGUUGGUCCCCCACACUGGUACUGAGACACGGACCAGACUCCUACGGGAGGCAGCAGUGAGGAAUCUUGGUCAAUGGACGCAAGUCUGAACCAGCCAUGUCGCGUGAAGGAGGACGGCCCUAAGGGUUGUAAACUUCUUUGCAGCGGAAUAAAGUUUGCCACGAGUUGGCGAUUUGCAAGUACGCUGCGAAUAAGGAUCGGCUAACUCCGUGCCAGCAGCCG